rnacentral:rRNA from 1 species
UGGAUGAUGUGGAUUAAUUCGAUGCAACGCGAAGAACCUUACACCCUUGACAUGUCCGGAACUUGCCAGAGAUGGCUUGGUGCCCGAAAGGGAACCGGAACACAGGUGCUGCAUGGCUGUCGUCAGCUCGUGUCGUGAGAUGUUGGGUUAAGUCCCGCAACGAGCGCAACCCUUGUCCUUAGUUGCUACGCAAGAGCACUCUAAGGAGACUGCCGGUGACAAACCGGAGGAAGGUGGGGAUGACGUCAAGUCCUCAUGGCCCUUAUGGGUAGGGCUUCACACGUCAUACAAUGGUCGGUACAGAGGGUUGCCAAGCCGCGAGGUGGAGCCAAUCCCACAAAGCCGAUCGUAGUCCGGAUUGUUCUCUGCAACUCGAGAGCAUGAAGUCGGAAUCGCUAGUAAUCGCAGGUCAGCAUACUGCGGUGAAUACGUUCCCGGGUCUU